AGAUUGAACGCUGGCGGCAGGCUUAACACAUGCAAGUCGAGCGGUAGCAGGCCUUCGGGUGCUGACGAGCGGCGGACGGGUGAGUAACGCAUAGGAAUCUGCCUGGUAGUGGGGGGAUAGGCCCGGGGAAACCGGAUUAAUACCGCAUACGCCCUACGGGGGAAAGGAUGGGAUCUUCGGACCAUUCGCUAUCAGAUGAGCCUAUGUCGGAUUAACUAGUUGGGUGGGUAAAGCCUACCAAGGCGACGAUCCGUAACUGGUCUGAGAGGAUGAUCAGUCACACUGGAACUGAGACACGGUCCAGACUCCUACGGGAGGCAGCAGGUGGGGAAUAUUGGACAAGUGGGGCAACCCUGACUCCGAGCCAUGCCGCGUGUACUAGAAGAAGGCCGUUACGGGUUAGUUAA
rnacentral:rRNA from 1 species